GAUGAACGCUAGCGGCAGGCCUAACACAUGCAAGUCGAGGGGUAGAACACUUCGGUGUUUGAGACCGGCGCACGGGUGCGUAACGCGUAUGCAAUCUACCUUGUACAGGGGAAUAGCCCAGAGAAAUUUGGAUUAAUGCCCCAUAGUAUAUAACCUUCGCAUGUUGGUUAUAUUAAAGUUCCAACGGUACAAGAUGAGCAUGCGUCCCAUUAGUUAGUUGGUAAGGUAACGGCUUACCAAGACGAUGAUGGGUAGGGGUCCUGAGAGGGAGAUCCCCACACUGGUACUGAGACACGGACCAGACUCCUACGGGAGGCAGCAGUGAGGAAUAUUGGUCAAUGGUCGCAAGACUGAACCAGCCAUGCCGCGUGCAGGAAGACGGUCCUAUGGAUUGUAAACUGCUUUUAUACAGGAAGAAACCCUCCCACGUGUGGGAGCUUGACGGUACUGUAGGAAUAAGGAUCGGCUAACUCCGUG
rnacentral:rRNA from 1 species